CGGGCCGGGGGAGAGAAGGAGAGAGAGAAGGGGAUCUGGGGAAAGGAGAAAAGUGGGAGGAGAGAGAGAAAAGUGGGAAGGGUAGGGGGUAAAGAGCACCCCAUAAGCAAAAUAAGCAGCUCCAAACUUGCUUAUUUGCUUAUGCAUAAGCAACUUAUAAGCAACUCUAUAAGCAAGAGUGUUUGGGUUAUAAGCAACUUAUUUGCUUAUUUAUAAGUUGCUUAUUUAUAAGCAAUGCUAACCAAACAGGCCCUAAGCCUAAUUAGUCCAUGAUUUGAC
rnacentral:lncRNA from 1 species